rnacentral:rRNA from 1 species
UUUUAUGGAGAGUUUGAUCCUGGCUCAGGAUGAACGCUGGCGGCGUGCCUAAUACAUGCAAGUCGAGCGAACGGACGAGAAGCUUGCUUCUCUGAUGUUAGCGGCGGACGGGUGAGUAACACGUGGAUAACCUACCUAUAAGACUGGGAUAACUUCGGGAAACCGGAGCUAAUACCGGAUAAUAUUUUGAACCGCAUGGUUCAAAAGUGAAAGACGGUCUUGCUGUCACUUAUAGAUGGAUCCGCGCUGCAUUAGCUAGUUGGUAAGGUAACGGCUUACCAAGGCAACGAUGCAUAGCCGACCUGAGAGGGUGAU